rnacentral:rRNA from 1 species
GUGAGGAAUAUUGCGCAAUGGAGGCAACUCUGACGCAGCCAUGCCGCGUGCAGGAAGAAGGCGCUACGCGUUGUAAACUGCUUUUAACCGGGAAGAAACCCCAGGACGUGUCCUGGGUUGACGGUACCGGAGGAAUAAGCACCGGCUAACUUCGUGCCAGCAGCCGCGGUAAUACGAAGGGUGCAAGCGUUAUCCGUAUUCAUUGGGUUUAAAGGGUGCGUAGGCGGAGCGUUAAGUCAGUGGUGCAAUCCUGCAGCUUAACUGUAGACUUGCCAUUGAUACUGGCGCUCUUGAGUGCGCUUGAAGUGGGCGGAAUGUGCCGUGUAGCGGUGAAAUGCUUAGAUAUGGCACAGAACACCAAUUGCGAAGGCAGCUCACUAAGGCGAUACUGACGCUGAGGCACGAAAGCGUGGGGAUCGAACAGGAUUAGAUACCCUAGUAGUCC